rnacentral:rRNA from 1 species
GACGAACGCUGGCGGCGCGCCUAACACAUGCAAGUCGAACGGAGUCAAGAGGAGCUUGCUUUUCUUGACUUAGUGGCGAACGGGUGAGUAACGCGUGAGUAACCUGCCCUGGAGUGGGGGACAACAGUUGGAAACGACUGCUAAUACCGCAUAAGCCCACGGAUCUGCAUGGAUCUGCGGGAAAAGGAUUUAUUCGCUCUAGGAUGGACUCGCGUCCAAUUAGCUAGUUGGUGAGGUAACGGCCCACCAAGGCGACGAUUGGUAGCCGGACUGAGAGGUUGAACCGCCACAUUGGGACUGAGACACGGCCCAGACUCCUACGGGAGGCAGCAGUGGGGGAUAUUGCACAAUGGGGGAAACCCUGAUGCAGCGACGCCGCGUGGAGGAAGAAGGUUUUCGGAUUGUAAACUCCUGUCGUUAGGGACGAUAAUGACGGUACCUAACAAGAAAGCACCAGCUAACUACGUG